rnacentral:rRNA from 1 species
AUGUUCGGUGAGAACGAUGGCGACGGUGUAAGCCCGGUCCUGUAUUUGAAGAUAUUCGACAGCUUCGACAAGGAGAUUUCUCCUCGGCUCAAGGACAGCAUCAAGAGUGUGAUGAAUGAGGAAACGAAGAAGGUCAAGGGGUUCCCGGGGGACAACAACGUGCCCUACACAGAGAGGCUGAAAAUCCUGGCCGGCAUUAUAAACCCUGAAGACCUGCAGCUCGGCACCCUGAAGACCUUCAGAAGCCGGUGUUGUCUAGAUCCUAGCACAAGUUCUACAAGGGAUCCAUCGUCAGCAUCGUUCAUUGAUUCAGAUCCAUUGUGCCAUUGGAAUGACUUGGAUUCUGCCGUUGUCACCAGCCCGAGGUUCAGAUCCUAG